UACGACUACAUAUCAGGCAUAUCAAUAAGCGGAGGAAAAGAAACUAACAUAGGAUUCCCUCAGUAACGGCGAGUGAAGCGGGAAGAGCUCAAAUUUGAAAUCUUCAAGGUUCUACCUUGACGAAUUGUAGUUUAAAGAAGUGUUUUCUGUUAGAUGAGUAGCAAAAGUUCCUUGGAAUGGGACAUCAUAGAGGGUGAGAAUCCCGUAUUUGGUUAUUCAUUCUAGCUUUGUGAUACACUUUCAAAGAGUCGGAUUGUUUGGGAAUGCAGUCCAAGAUGGGUGGUAAAUUUCAUCUAAAGCUAAAUAUUGGCGAGAGACCGAUAGCGAACAAGUACCGUGAGGGAAAGAUGAAAAGAACUUUGAAAAGAGAGUUAAACAGUACGUGAAAUUGUCAAAAGGGAAGCGUUUGACACCAGUGUUGUUUUUCCGAAAAUCAAUUACGAAUGGCUUGAUUUUGUGUUGUAUUGACCUUAUCAGCUUUCUGCACUUUUUUCGAGUCUUUCUUAAUGCACUUUUCGGUUAACAAGUCAACAUCAAUUUCUUUUGUUGUAAAAGAGUAUUCGGAAGGUGGCUUUCUUUUCGGAGAAAGUGUUUAUAGCCCUAUACUUCUACAAUCGGAGAGAUUGAGGUCUGCAGCGUAGAUCCUUCGGGGUUAGAUACACUUGUGCUAAGUUGUAGCUUUUCAUAGACAACUUGUUGACUAUGUUUAGUCAUUAUUGCGGCUUACUCGCUUGUGCUAUUUUACCUACGCUUAGGAUGUUGAGUAGCGACAUACGCAC
rnacentral:rRNA from 1 species